GACGAACGCUGGCGGCGUGCUUAACACAUGCAAGUCGAGCGAGUGGAUUCCCUUCGGGGAUGAAGCUAGCGGCGGACGGGUGAGUAACACGUGGGCAACCUGCCUUAUAGAGGGGGAUAGCCUUCCGAAAGGAAGAUUAAUACCGCAUAACAUCAGAUUAUCGCAUGGUAGACUGAUCAAAGGAGCAAUCCACUAUAAGAUGGGCCCGCGUCGCAUUAGCUAGUUGGUGAGGUAACGGCUCACCAAGGCGACGAUGCGUAGCCGACCUGAGAGGGUGAUCGGCCACAUUGGGACUGAGACACGGCCCAGACUCCUACGGGAGGCAGCAGUGGGGAAUAUUGCACAAUGGGGGAAACCCUGAUGCAGCAACGCCGCGUGAGUGAUGAAGGCCUUCGGGUUGUAAAGCUCUUUGAUCAGGGACGAUAAUGACGGUACCUGAAGAACAAGCCACGGCUAACUACGUGCCAGCAGCCGCGGUAACAC
rnacentral:rRNA from 1 species